CAGCCGCCGCGGUAAUACGAACCGUGCGAACGUUAUUCGGAAUCACUGGGCUUAAAGCGCGUGUAGGCGGGCCGCCACGUCGGCUGCUGAAAUCCCCCGGCUCAACCGGGGAAGUGGCACCGAUAUGAGCGGCCUCGAGGGGGGUAGGGGGCACUGGAACUUCCGGUGGAGCGGUGGAAUGCGUUGAGAUCGGAAGGAACGCCCGUGGCGAAAGCGAGGUCCUGGACGUCUGCUGACGCUGAGACGCGAAAGCCAGGGGAGCGAACGGGAUUAGAUACCCGUGUAGUCCCUGUCUCUUAUA
rnacentral:rRNA from 1 species